rnacentral:rRNA from 1 species
AUACGGAGGAUCCGAGCGUUAUCCGGAUUUAUUGGGUUUAAAGGGAGCGUAGGUGGACAGUUAAGUCAGUUGUGAAAGUUUGCGGCUCAACCGUAAAAUUGCAGUUGAUACUGGCUGUCUUGAGUACAGUAGAGGUGGGCGGAAUUCGUGGUGUAGCGGUGAAAUGCUUAGAUAUCACGAAGAACUCCGAUUGCGAAGGCAGCUCACUGGACUGCAACUGACACUGAUGCUCGAAAGUGUGGGUAUCAAACAGGAUGAGAUACCCUGGUAGUCCGCACAGUAAACGAUGAAUACUCGCUGUUUGCGAUACACGGUAAGCGGCCAAGCGAAAGCGUUAAGUAUUCCACCUGGGGAGUACGCCGGCAACGGUGGAACUCAAAGGAAUUGACGGGG